rnacentral:rRNA from 1 species
GAUGAACGCUAGCUACAGGCUUAACACAUGCAAGUCGCGGGGCAGCAUGGGGGUUGCUUGCAAUCCCCGAUGGCGACCGGCGCACGGGUGAGUAACGCGUAUCCAACCUGUCCUUCACCACGGGAUAACCCGGCGAAAGUCGGACUAAUACCGUAUGUUGUCCAUUGACGGCAUCCGAUUUGGACGAAAGGCUUGGCGGUGAGGGAUGGGGAUGCGUCCGAUUAGCCAGACGGCGGGGUAACGGCCCACCGUGGCUACGAUCGGUAGGGGUUCUGAGAGGAAGGUCCCCCACACUGGAACUGAGACACGGUCCAGACUCCUACGGGAGGCAGCAGUGAGGAAUAUUGGUCAAUGGGCGUAAGCCUGAACCAGCCAAGUAGCGUGCAGGAUGACGGCCCUAUGGGUUGUAAACUGCUUUUAUGCGGGGAUAAAGUGGCCCACGUGUGGGCUUUUGCAGGUACCGCAUGAAUAAGGACCGGCUAAUUCCGUG